CUUCCUGGGAUGGCCGCCAAGGGUCAUAAAACUGUGGAAAUCGUCACCGGCUACCUCUGGUGACAGAUGCCCGGGAUCGGAGCAGAGGUUGCAGGACUACCAAUGCCCUUCACCACACCGCUGUCUCAGCCUCGGGCGUGGCCGGCGUGGUCACCGGUCACCGCGGCUCCUCUCUGAGGCCAACAGCGCCCAUCCCAAGGACCAGACGCAAUUCCGAUAGGGCCUCCUUUCUUUUCCAGCUUCGCUGAGAUACCACGGGCGUGUGACGCCGUGAAAGGUUAAGGUCUCCGUGUGACGCCGUGAAAGGUUAAGGUCCACCGUGUGACGAGGAAGGGGAGCGCCUUUCUGUUUCCCAGCAGAUCCAUCUAUAAACAUGGAUUGUGAAAUGAUGCCACAGUAAGGUUGGUGCUAAAUCCACUGAGCCACACCAGCCAGGAUUGGAUUCCCUGGAUUUUAAAAUCGUGAGCAUGUACUAUGUCCCAGGCUCUGGGCCCAGAUGUAUUGUGGAUGGGUGAGCACACAUCUGACUUGGUCUGAGACGGUCUGGAAUCACCGGCGUUCUGCCAGCUCAGUUAGUAGGGGCACCCUGUCCAUGGUCCUUCUCAAAGGGGUCCUAGGAAGUCAAGUGCUGGGCUUAGGCUCCUGCAUUAAGUGAAAAACAAAAAAACAAAAAAAAAAAUAAAACAAAACAGUUCCUGAGCCAGAAGUUCAAACCUGGGUCAUUCUGUGUGCCUCUCUGUCUUAAUGGUUUAAUGAGAAAUUCUUUUUUAGGGUUGAGAAUAAUUUCUCCCCCUUAAAAAAUAGCUUAAAAAAUCUUCAUAUUUUUGCUGAAGUCAUAACUCCCAUUUUAAAAAAUGUCAUCUAUUAAAGGAUCGGCUCAUUCAGUUCUUUCCGUGCCCCCUUCCUUGCUUUGUUUCUUCAUAAUUUUAUAUUUGACAACGGAACGAAACGAGAAGUUGCUUCACAGCCGAGUGCACUCCCUUUGCAUUCCACGAACCCCGCAGCUAUCUCCUGGAAGAUCAGACUCAGGUGAAACUCUGGCGGGUGAAACGGAUCAUCACUCCGAGUCCGGCUGUGUUAUUAAAGGGCACACAACCAAGAACACCUUAUUUAAGAGGCACCAACUUUCCUAUUGCCUACAACCCUUUGGACACACGCUUCCGCUGAAUAAUGAGUAUCCAAUAGAAGGAAGCUGAGGCUCUGCUCGGGGCAGGGACAGAGCAGAAACGCAAUCACAGUGCUGGGGUGGUGAGCAGCCACCCACCUGCGCUGCGCACCACAGCCUGCUGGUCCGGAGUUACUGCCUACUGGUGACUGGUGACCUGAAACUCCUGGAGACCAGAAGCACCAAGCGGGGAGACAGGCACAGUGACGGCCACAGAAGAACGAAAGAGGCAGGGCUAAAGGGUGGGGCACCCGCCACUGCCUGCCACCUGGUAAAGCAACAGGCACCUGCAGCAAGGACCCUGAGUCGCUGACCAUUUCUGUGUCCUCUGCUGCGAUAACAUGAGACACAGAACCGUUCCAAGCUGUCCAGUGAGAUGAACGCACCCCUGAGAGAGGCACUCGCCACUCAGCUGCUGCACAGGCACAGAGGCGGGGGGCGAGGCGAGGAGGGUCUGGACUAGGGAUCCGCGGAGGACACAGGAAGGAAGGAGCAGAAAGAAACAAGACUCUGCAGGGGAGGAAAGGCAAGACACGCCGUCGGAUGGGGCGCAAGGGCCACGGGGAGAGGAAUCAGGCACCGUACUUUUUGCCGUGUGUAGUGCACACUUUCUUGCCUGAAUAUUGGAGUGGAAAUAAGGACGCACAUUCUACAUGGGUAGUACUAAUUCUGUAUCUAUAUAAAUGUUUUUAAUUGUUUUAUGUAUGCUUAUGUGUUAAAACUAACUCUAGAAAGCAAUAACGAUAUCCAUAUGCAAAAUAAUACCCUGGAAUGUGAUAAUUGGUUUUGUUUCUAAAUAUAACUAAAUAAAAAUUGAAUUAAAAUGAAAGGGU